AAAGAACCAGACUGACAAGGCCCAGGUG
rnacentral:piRNA from 1 species